rnacentral:rRNA from 1 species
GACGAACGCUGGCGGCGUGCCUAAUACAUGCAAGUAGAACGCACAGUUUAUACCGUAGCUUGCUACACCAUAGACUGUGAGUUGCGAACGGGUGAGUAACGCGUAGGUAACCUGCCUGGUAGCGGGGGAUAACUAUUGGAAACGAUAGCUAAUACCGCAUAAUAUUAAUUAUUGCAUGAUAAUUAAUUGAAAGGUGCAAUUGCACCACUACCAGAUGGACCUGCGUUGUAUUAGCUAGUAGGUGAGGUAACGGCUCACCUAGGCAACGAUACAUAGCCGACCUGAGAGGGUGGUCGGCCACCUGGGAGGUGGACACGGCCCCAGACCCCUAGGGGAGGCGCCAGAAGGGAAUCUUCGGCAAUGGGGGAAAGUCUGACCGAGCAAGCCGACGUGGGUGAGAAAGGUUUUCGGUUCGUAAAGCUCGGUUUUAGGGAAGAACGGGUGUGAGAGUGGAAAGUUCACACUGUGACGGUAUCUUACCAGAAAGGGACGGCUAACUACGUG